UUAGGGGUCAAAUUUUGUAGGAAGUUGGAACAGCGCCCUUAGCGGCAAACGUAGGCAAAUGUUCCAACUCCAUACACAUUUGAGUUA
rfam:Bombyx mori DNA, contig: Bm_scaf53_contig27128, strain: p50T/Dazao, build 2, whole genome shotgun sequence.